rnacentral:rRNA from 1 species
CCUACGGGUGGCAGCAGUGAGGAAUAUUGGUCAAUGGCCGGAAGGCUGAACCAGCCAUGCCGCGUGAAGGUCAGUGCCCUAUGGGCGUUAAACUUCUUUUGUGCGGGAGCAAUAAUGGUCACGUGUGGCCAGACGAGAGUACCGUACGAAUAAGCCUCGGCUAACGCCGUGCCAGCCGCCGCGGUUAUACGGGGGGUGCAAGCGUUAUCCGGAUUUAUUGGGUUUAAAGGGUGCGUAGGCUGUGAGGUAAGUCAGCGGUGAAAUGCCCCCGGUCAACGGGGUGAGGUGCCAUUGAUACUGGCUGGCUGGAGUGCGGAUGCCGUAGGAGGAAUGUGUGGUGUAGCGGUGAAAUGCAUAGAUAUCACACAGAACACCGAUUGCGAAGGCAGCUCACGAAUCCGCGAUUGACGCUGAGGCACGAAAGCGUGGGUAUCAAACAGGAUUAGAUACCCGAGUAGUC